rnacentral:rRNA from 1 species
GGGUUGUGAGGUUAAGCGACUAAGCGUACACGGUGGAUGCCCUGGCAGUCAGAGGCGAUGAAGGACGUGCUAAUCUGCGAUAAGCGUCGGUAAGGUGAUAUGAACCGUUAUAACCGGCGAUUUCCGAAUGGGGAAACCCAGUGUGAUUCGUCACACUAUCAUUAACUGAAUCCAUAGGUUAAUGAGGCGAACCGGGGGAACUGAAACAUCUAAGUACCCCGAGGAAAAGAAAUCAACCGAGAUUCCCCCAGUAGCGGCGAGCGAACGGGGAGCAGCCCAGAGUCUGAAUCAGUGUGUGUGUUAGUGGAAGCGUCUGGAAAGGCGCGCGAUACAGGGUGACAGCCCCGUACACAAAAAUGCACAUGCUGUGAGCUCGAUGAGUAGGGCGGGACACGUGGUAUCCUGUCUGAAUAUGGGGGGACCAUCCUCCAAGGCUAAAUACUCCUGACUGACCGAUAGUGAACCAGUACCGUGAGGGAAAGGCGAAAAGAACCCCGGCGAGGGGAGUGAAAAAGAACCUGAAACCGUGUACGUACAAGCAGUGGGAGCACGCUUAGGCGUGUGACCGCGUACCUUUUGUAUAAUGGGUCAGCGACUUAUAUUCUGUAGCAAGGUUAACCGAAUAGGGGAGCCGAAGGGAAACCGAGUCUUAACUGGGCGUUAAGUUGCAGGGUAUAGACCCGAAACCCGGUGAUCUAGCCAUGGGCAGGUUGAAGGUUGGGUAACACUAACUGGAGGACCGAACCGACUAAUGUUGAAAAAUUAGCGGAUGACUUGUGGCUGGGGGUGAAAGGCCAAUCAAACCGGGAGAUAGCUGGUUCUCCCCGAAAGCUAUUUAGGUAGCGCCUCGUGAACUCAUCUCCGGGGGUAGAGCACUGUUUCGGCAAGGGGGUCAUCCCGACUUACCAACCCGAUGCAAACUGCGAAUACCGGAGAAUGUUAUCACGGGAGACACACGGCGGGUGCUAACGUCCGUCGUGAAGAGGGAAACAACCCAGACCGCCAGCUAAGGUCC